UACGUAGGGUGCGAGCGUUGUCCGGAUUUAUUGGGCGUAAAGAGCUCGUAGGCGGCUUGUCGCGUCGGAUGUGAAAGCCCCGGGGCUUAACCUGGGAACUGCAUUGGUGACUGGCAGGCUUUGAGUGUGGCAGAGGGAGGUAGAAUUCCACGUGUAGCAGUGAAAUGCGUAGAGAUGUGGAGGAAUACCGAUGGCGAAGGCAGCCUCCUGGGCCAACACUGACGCUCAUGCACGAAAGCGUGGGGAGCAAACAGG
rnacentral:rRNA from 1 species